rnacentral:lncRNA from 1 species
CAAUGACCAAUACAGAAGUGUAUUUUGAAAAAGAAAGGAAAGAAAGAUUUGCAAAGAAAGCACUUUAGAAAUAUCAUGUAAUUGUUAUCCUCACUUUAAAGAAGAGUGUGAGAUUCUUAGGAGUCAGGCACUGAAUGAGGACAAGCACAAAAACUGGCCUAAUUAUUACUAUUUUUUUAUUUUCCGCGGCAAUCUUAUGACUACAGGUGUAGCCCCACCCCUCACAUGAAAGCCCCGCCCCUCCAGUAUAACUCCGCCCCUCCAUGUGAAGUCCUGCCCACAUAGUGGCAUCCCGCCCUCUUUGCUUAGCCACGUCCCUCUCGAUGCUCCUUAGCCCACUCUCUUCCAAGUUUUACUGGCCCCACUAGGUGGGCUACCCAUGGCUCCAUCUCGGCAGCAUUGCGCCUGCGCCAGAGACCCGUCUCGGCGGUUGCUGACAGUUGACUAGGGUUUGGGUAUCUGGUGCCACCGCUGCUGGAGGGCUCGGAACCACCAUGACCAUCACGUACAGCUGCAUUGCUAAUGGCCGGGUGAUCCUGGCCGAGCUGGCCCUGACCGGAGGCUCCUAUCAGGAGGCAGCAUCAUCAGUGCUAAAACUAGUUCUUCUAAAAGCUGAGAAAAAAACCACAGCACGUAUUGGAAGCUAUGUCUACCAUACUCUCUUAAUUGAUGGAAUCACUUACUUGUGUGCCACAGACAAUCCCCUGGAUAACACUUUACCAUCUGCAUUUCUUGAAGAGGACCUUGAAAAAACUUCCAAUAUAAAGUGCCUGCAUUAUUCACGAGUUAAGAGAAAGUUGUAAUUUAAAAGGAGAAAAUAAAAUGGGUGUUUCCUCAUUCUGAGUUACCCUU